AUCUUGGGAUUUUUUGGACACCCAGAGAACAGGUCCCAGAUCCCGAGUCCUCAACUCCAAACCGCGAUUAAUAGGAGGCCUCUGGUCCCUGCCUGCCCUGGGUGCUCAUGGAACCAGCUGCUGCUCUGCACUUCUCCCUGCCAGCCUCCCUCCUCCUCCUCCUGCUCCUCCUCCUCAGCCUGUGUGCACUGGUCUCAGCCCAGUUUACUGUCGUGGGGCCAGCUAAUCCCAUCCUGGCCAUGGUGGGAGAAAACACUACAUUACGCUGCCAUUUGUCACCCGAGAAAAAUGCUGAGGACAUGGAGGUGCGGUGGUUCCGGUCUCAGUUCUCCCCUGCAGUGUUUGUGUAUAAAGAUGGGAGAGAGAGAACAGAGGAGCAGAUGGAGCAGUACCAGGGAAGAAUCACCUUUGUGAGCAAAGACAUCAGCAGGGGCAGCGUGGCCCUGGUCAUACACAACGUCACAGCCCAGGAGAAUGGCAUCUACCGCUGUUACUUCCAAGAAAGCAGAUCCUACGAUGAGGCCAUCCUACGCCUCAUGGUGGCAGGCCUUGGGUCUAAGCCCCUCAUUGAAAUCAAGGCCCAGGAGGAUGGGAGCAUCUGGCUGGAGUGCAUAUCUGGAGGGUGGUACCCAGAGCCCCUCAUGGUGUGGAGGGACCCCUACGGUGAGGUCGUGCCCACCCUGAAGGAGGUCUCCAUCGCUGAUGCUGACGGCCUCUACAUGGUCACCACAGCUGUGAUCAUCAGAGACAAGUAUGUGAGGAAUGUGUCCUGCUCUGUCAACAACACCCUGCUUGGCCAGGAGAAGGAAACUGUCAUUUUUAUUCCAGAAUCCUUUAUGCCCAGCGCAUCUCCCUGGAUGGUGGCCCUAGCUGUCAUCCUGACCACAUCUCCGUGGAUGGUGUCCAUGGCUGUCAUCCUGGCUGUUUUCAUCAUCUUCAUGGCUGUGAGCAUCUGUUGCAUCAAGAAACUUCAAAGAGAAAAAAAGAUCCUGUCAGGGGAAAAGGAAGUUGAACAAGAGGAAAAAGAAAUUACACGUAAGGAAUUUGUAAAGAAAGUGAUGGAGAAGAACAUACUUACAUGCUGUGAGUUCUCAUCUUGUGAUUCGGCAUCUCUGCCUGUCAGCACCAAAGAAUCCAAACUUUACCAGAUACCAGGGCCCAUGGACCUUUCCUCUUUGGUGAGUUUCAAAAUUGCCACUGUCAUUUUGGGACGCAAUCACAACUUGUCACAAUCAGACAUAUCAACUUGUGGAAAAGAGAAAAUCAUUUUAAUGCAAUAGAAAGGUAGACUGAAUAAGUAAGAAUACAUACAGAAGGUAGAGGUUUGCAGAAUGCUCAGCUCCUGGGGCAUUUCCUGUAUGGGAGAAGUAAUCCUGGUAGAUGUCAGACUCAUGUUGUUAAAGCAAAACUGGAUUGAAGUAUUUCUUCCCUAACUUUGCCCACACACCCCUCAGGCACCAGGUUUUCUUUUGCACACAUUUAUUCUCCUUCUUUAUCCUUUGAAGCAUGCCCUUGUCAGCCACUUAAAUCAGUUGUCACCUAUUAAAACAACCUAUAGGACCAACGAAGAGGUCCUUCACCACCUAGGACAGUGUGUAAUGAUAGACUCACUUAAUUGAUCCAUUGAGAGGUGUGUCGGGGAACAAUAGGAGAUAAAGCUUCUGUGAUGGUUUAAGCCAAGUUGGAAAGUUUCUAACUAAAGAAAGCCCCAGAGAUCAUAUGUCUUGAAUAGAAAAGGGAUCAGAUCUUAGAAUGCUGAGAAAAACUGGGAACCAUUAAUUUUGGCUCAUUUCCUAAACUCUCUGGAUUUCGUAAAGCCACAAUUCUUCUCAACCUGGGGCACUGCUUCUGUCUCUGGAGAGAUAGAAGUGUAGCUUCAGUAAUUCUCAGGGUAUGAGCUGCUUGGGAUCAGGGGGCCUUCAUGGAAACGGCCACUACAUGGGGAACCCCCUUCAGCUUUCUGAGACUUCUCUAGGGACCAGGAACCACACAAUCCCCAGGGUUCCUGAGACCCCAGGCAUAAACCUGAGACUUCCUCUGCAGCUGAUGUGGUCCUGGAUCCAGACACCGCUCAUCCCGAGCUCUUCCUGUCAGAGGACCGAAGAAGUGUGAGACGGGGCCCCUACAGGCAGAGAGUGCCUGACAACCCAGAGAGAUUCGACAGUCAGCCUUGUGUCCUGGGAUGGGAGAGCUUCGCCUCAGGGAAACAUUACUGGGAGGUGGAGGUGGAAAACGUGAUGGUGUGGACCGUGGGGGUCUGCAGACACAGUGUUGAGAGGAAAGGGGAGGUCCUGCUGAUUCCUCAGAAUGGCUUCUGGACCCUGGAGAUGUUUGGAAACCAAUACCGGGCCCUAUCCUCCCCUGAGAGGAUUCUCCCUUUGAAGGAGUCCCUUUGCCGGGUGGGUGUCUUCCUGGACUAUGAAGCUGGAGAUGUCUCCUUCUACAACAUGAGGGACAGAUCGCACAUCUACACAUGUCCCCGUUCAGCCUUUUCUGUGCCUGUGAGGCCCUUCUUCAGGUUAGGGUCUGACGACAGCCCCAUCUUCAUCUGCCCUGCACUCACAGGAGCCGAUGGGGUCACGGUGCCUGAAGAAGGCCUGACACUUCACAGAGUGGGGACCCACCAGAGCCUGUAGAAUCAAUUCCUUGGACUCACAGCCAUGCAGAUAAGCCCUGGUCAUCUCAGCAGCCACCGCACAACCCACCUAAUGAAAGACACGCCCUCCUCCCCUCUGGUAACGAUUUCCACAGCACACACCCACAGGCCUGGACCUGGGAUGAAGAUGAAUGAAGAACAUGGACUCAUGUGGAUGUGGUUUGGCUCAGAUGUCCCUGCAAUAAACAAGGGGUCAGUACUUAGUCCCUGAGUGUGGUUGAGGUUUGAGGUCCUGGUCGAGCAGGGCAGUACUGGACCAGGUCUACAUCAGCAUUCAGGUUCAAUGGGGACACCAGUGGCUUCAAACUUCCUGAUCUAAUUAUGUUUUUAGACACUUGGAAAUUAUUGAGGGCAUUAAAGAGCUUUUGUUUAUUUGGGUUAAUAUUUGUUAAUAUUUAUGGCAUUUGACAUUGAAACAAAAAUUUAAAAUGUUAUCUUUUAAUUUAUGUUAAAAUAGUAUGACUAAAUCAAUUAUAGGUUAAUGUAAAUAGGAUGUUUUGUGAAAAAGCAAUCUAUUGUGUCCAAAUAAAAGAACAAAAAGUG